ensembl:lincRNA
CUAAUCUGAAAAAUGACAUCAAUGCUGAGCAAAGACAUACCUGAACACCUGCUCCUCCCUUGAUUCUGUGAACUGUGUGGUGACGGGAAACACUUUCAAGUUCAGAAGCUCGAGUUCAGGUGUCAUCAGCUGCACUGAGAGCCACGCAGUAUGACUCUGCAGAUGACCCCAGCAUAGGCCAUCAGAAGGUCGAAGAGAAGGUCCACUGCAGAUCCCAGCUCUGCCUCUGACAGUCACAUCCCCCUGCCAGCUUCAUCAUCUCGGAAUGAGGUCUCUGUGGCCAGGAUAUUACAAAGCACAGCUAUAAUCCCUCAGCUUCUGCUAAAUCAGUUUGUGUUGAUGACUGACCAAGUGCAGGCCCAGACGUAGCCAAACACUGUGCAGACAGCUUCCCAGGGUGGCAGUGACCUGGGUAGGCAGAAUUGGCACUACCUGAAGGACACGUACAAAACACUGUCUUCAUGCAGGGUAUUUUAGAAAUGCAAGUAACCCUCAUCUUGAAGUUGCUGGAGAGCCCAUCUUGGCUUUGCAAUCUGACCAGGACCAAGAUGUUUCCUUUUUGCCACCCUAGAACCAAGCGACAGAGUCUUCUGGACCCUACUGCACCAGGAAAACAGGAUAGACUCCUCUGGGAAGGUUGUUUCAUGCCUGGCACCUUUGGCUUGUGACCUGAAGGGGAACUGAUUGUAUUUUAUCUGCUGAAGAAGAAAAGAUUUCUGAAACUUCCGCAUUGUGCACCCAAAUGACAGACCCCUUUCCUGUCUGAGGCUCCCAGACUGAAUCUCGGUGGGGACUUAAGUGCAGAUGGCUAGGCCUGUGCCACAUUCCCCAGCCCCGCAGGCCUGACCCAGGACACCUUGUGGACAGGGUGCAGGCCUGCCAGCAACUUGUUUUGUUCAAGACAGACUGUAUUCGAGUCUCCCCUCCCGAUCGCUUAUUAGAAGCUCUGAAAUCUUUACUAGACUUGCAUAUUUGUUUCCCUUUUGCUUUUAUAUAAAAUAUAGUUUAUGGUGUUAUAUUUAUUUUUAACUGAGAUACUGUACAUAUGUAAAUAACUUUUUUUUUAUUUUUAGAUAAGAUCUCACUAAGUUGCUCAAGCUGGCCUUGAACUUGGGAUCCAUCUGCCUCAGCCUCCCAAGCAGCCGGGAUUACAGGCUUUGUGCACUGCCAUGCCCAGCUUGUAAAUAGCUCUUGACAGGAAGAAAAUAUAUGAAUGUAAUAUUAGCUUCCUAUCAGUGAACUGAACAAAUAUAUCAUUGAAAUUUAUGCUGCAAUCUGAGUUGCUGCAAACAUAGCCCAGUUUGUUUACUUUUGAAAAAUGUGACAAAGCUACUAAGAAUGAUUUAUGGCAGGCUUUCCACUACAGUGGGUGGGACUUCUUAAGCACUCACCCUCUGCUUCUCCCCGAACUCUCCUCACAAAGAUGGCGUUGGUGUAAAGCUGAAGGAUUUUUCAUUUUUGUACAGAUACAUUGUCAACGUUUAAGAACUUGAGAGGGAAGUAGAUAACUGAGAUGCAUGGAUAUCAACUUUCAUGCUUUAGAAUACUAAAAGAUAGGAAACCAUAGUUCUGAUCAGAACUUGCCCACAAAUACCAGUGAUUCUGGGGGGUUAAAUCAUGUACUCUUCAAAUUGAUGUAAGUACACCGAACUUAGAUUUCAUGCUUUUAAAAUUUAGACUCAAAUGCUUUAGAAUUUAAACAGUUUUUUCAUUAGUUAAUAAUUCAAGGUUCUGUAAACAUUUGAUUAAACUCUGCAUGCAUAUGUCAUUGUUCUUGUUUUUCUGUUUAUCUUCUCAACAAUGGGCCCAGAGAAAAGGAAGAGUAGCCCAUGGGGGAUUUAGGAACCAGCUGCCAAGGGCCCUCUCUUCCUCUCUGAUCUUUUUUUGGUCUUUUUCUUCUUUUUU